UGAAUGAUGGCACCGUAGCUAAGGCGGUAGUGAAGCUGCUUCCGAAGCUGAGGGCCGCGGGUUCGAAUCCCGCCCAGGGCAA
rnacentral:tRNA from 1 species